CAGCAGCCGCGGUAAUACGGAGGGUGCAAGCGUUAAUCGGAAUUACUGGGCGUAAAGCGCACGCAGGCGGUCUGUCAAGUCAGAUGUGAAAUCCCCGGGCUUAACCUGGGAACUGCAUUUGAAACUGGCAGGCUAGAGUCUUGUAGAGGGGGGUAGAAUUCCAGGUGUAGCGGUGAAAUGCGUAGAGAUCUGGAGGAAUACCGGUGGCGAAGGCGGCCCCCUGGACAAAGACUGACGCUCAGGUGCGAAAGCGUGGGGAGCAAACAGGAUUAGAUACCCCAGUAGUCCCUGUCUAUUAUAC
rnacentral:rRNA from 1 species